AGAGUUUGAUCAUGGCUCAGAUUGAACGCUGGCGGCAUGCUUUACACAUGCAAGUCGAACGGUAACAGGGAGCUUGCUCCGCUGACGAGUGGCGAACGGGUGAGUAAUGCGUCGGAACGUGCCGAGUAGUGGGGGAUAACGCAUCGAAAGGUGUGCUAAUACCGCAUACGAACUGAGGUUGAAAGUGGGGGACCUUCGGGCCUCACGCUAUUCGAGCGGCCGACGUCUGAUUAGCUAGUUGGUGAGGUAAAGGCUCACCAAGGCGACGAUCAGUAGCGGGUCUGAGAGGAUGAUCCGCCACACUGGGACUGAGACACGGCCCAGACUCCUACGGGAGGCAGCAGUGGGGAAUUUUGGACAAUGGGCGCAAGCCUGAUCCAGCCAUGCCGCGUGUCUGAAGAAGGCCUUCGGGUUGUAAAGGACUUUUGUCCGGGAGCAAAUGCCUGGUGUAAUAGCAUCGGGAGCUGAGAGUACCGGAAGAAUAAGCACCGGCUAACUACGUGCCAGCAGCCGCGGUAAUACGUAGGGUGCAAGCGUUAAUCGGAAUUACUGGGCGUAAAGCGUGCGCAGGCGGUUUUGUAAGCCAGAUGUGAAAGCCCCGGGCUCAACCUGGGAACUGCGUUUGGAACUACAAGACUAGAGUGUGUCAGA
rnacentral:rRNA from 1 species